rnacentral:rRNA from 1 species
AAAAGAAACCAACAGGGAUUGCCCCAGUAACGGCGAGUGAAGCGGCAACAGCUCAAAUUUGAAAUCUGGCCCCCCGCGGGCCCGAGUUGUACUUUGGAGAGGACGCUUCUGGCGCGGCGCCGUCCGAGUUCCCUGGAACGGGACGCCGGAGAGGGUGAGAGCCCCGUACGGGCGGCCGCCUAGCCUCUGCGAAGCUCCUUCGACGAGUCGAGUAGUUUGGGAAUGCUGCUCAAAAUGGGAGGUAAAUUUCUUCUAAAGCUAAAUACCGGCCAGAGACCGAUAGCGCACAAGUAGAGUGAUCGAAAGAUGAAAAGCACUUUGAAAAGAGGGUCAAACAGUACGUGAAAUUGUUGAAAGGGAAGCGCCUGUGGCCAGACUUGCGCCCCGCGGACCACCCGGCGCCUCGCGCGCCGGGGCACGCCAGCGGGGCGCAGGCCAGCAUCGGCUCUCUCGGGGGGACAAAGGCCGCGGGAACGUAGCGCCCUCGCGGCGUAUUAUAGCCCGCGGCGCCAUGCCCCCGGGGGGGCCGAGGACCGCGCUCCGGCAAGGAUGCUGGCGUAAUGGCCACCGGCGACCCGUCUUGAAACACGGACCAAGGAGUCAAGCAUUGGGGCGAGUGUCUGGGUGGCAAGCCCGCACGCGGAAUGAAAGUGAACGCAGGUGGGAGCUUCGGCGCACCACCGACCGAUCCUGAUGUCCUCGGAUGGAUUUGAGUAGGAGCCCCGCCGCUUGGACCCGAAAGAUGGUGAACUAUGCCUGUAUAGGGUGAAGCCAGAGGAAACUCUGGUGGAGGCCCGCAGCGGUUCUGACGUGCAAAUCGAUCGUCAAAUAUGGGCAUGGGGSGAAAG